GACGAACGCUGGCGGCGUGCCUAAUACAUGCAAGUUGAGCGCUGAAGGUUGGUACUUGUACCGACUGGAUGAGCAGCGAACGGGUGAGUAACGCGUGGGGAAUCUGCCUUUGAGCGGGGGACAACAUUUGGAAACGAAUGCUAAUACCGCAUAAAAACUUUAAACACAAGUUUUAAGUUUGAAAGAUGCAAUUGCAUCACUCAAAGAUGAUCCCGCGUUGUAUUAGCUAGUUGGUGAGGUAAAGGCUCACCAAGGCGAUGAUACAUAGCCGACCUGAGAGGGUGAUCGGCCACAUUGGGACUGAGACACGGCCCAAACGCCUACGGGAGGCAGCAGUAGGGAAUCUUCGGCAAUGGACGAAAGUCUGACCGAGCAACGCCGCGUGAGUGAAGAAGGGUGUCGGAUCGUAAAACUCUGUUGGUAGAGAAGAACGUUGGUGAGAGUGGAAAGCUCAUCAAGUGACGGUAACUACCCAGAAAGGGACGGCUAACUACGUG
rnacentral:rRNA from 1 species